rnacentral:rRNA from 1 species
AAACAUGUCUUUUUGUGAAUAAUUUAAAGUUUAAUCUGCCCACUGAUNAAAUUAUUAAAGGGCUGCAGUAUUUUGACUGUACAAAGGUAGCAUAAUCAUUAGUCUCUUAAUUGGUGACUUGUAUGAAAGAUUGGAUGAAAUAUAUACUGUCUCUAAUUAAUUUAUAAAAUUUAAUUUUUUAGUAAAAAAGCUAAAAUAAGUUUAAAAGACGAGAAGACCCUAUAGAGUUUAAUAAUUUAUUUAAUUAUUAUUAAUAUUUAAAUUUUAAAGUUAAAAUUAAAUAAAUUAUUUUGUUGGGGUGAUAGAAAAAUUAAAUUAACUUUUUUUUUAUUUUAUACAUAAAUUUAUGAAUAGAUGAUCCAUUAAUAAUGAUUAAAAGAAAAAAUUACCUUAGGGAUAACAGCGUAAUUUUUUUUUUUAGUUCAAAUAGGAAAAAAAGUUUGCGACCUCGAUGUUGGAUUAAGAUAAAAUUUAAAUGCAAAAGUUAAA